GACGAACGCUGGCGGCGUGCCUAAUACAUGCAAGUUGAGCGCUGAAGGUUGGUCCUUGUACCAACUGGAUGAGCAGCGAACGGGUGAGUAACGCGUGGGGAAUCUGCCUUUGAGCGGGGGACAACAUUUGGAAACGAAUGCUAAUACCGCAUAAAAACUUUAAACACAAGUUUUAAGUUUGAAAGAUGCAAUUGCAUCACUCAAAGAUGAUCCCGCGUUGUAUUAGCUAGUUGGUGAGGUAAAGGCUCACCAAGGCGAUGAUACAUAGCCGACCUGAGAGGGUGAUCGGCCACAUUGGGACUGAGACACGGCCCAAACUCCUACGGGAGGCAGCAGUAGGGAAUCUUCGGCAAUAGACGAAAGUCUGACCGAGCAACGCCGCGUGAGUGAAGAAGGUUUUCGGAUCGUAAAACUCUGUUGGUAGAGAAGAACGUUGGUGAGAGUGGAAAGCUCAUCAAGUGACGGUAACUACCCAGAAAGGGACGGCUAACUACGUG
rnacentral:rRNA from 1 species